rnacentral:rRNA from 1 species
GAUAAACGCUGGCGGCGUGCCUAAUGCAUGCAAGUCGAACGGUUUAGUGCUUUCGGGCACUAAAUAGUGGCAAACGGGUGAGUAACACGUGGGAAUCUGCCCGAGAGUGGGGAACAACUCCUCGAAAGAGGAGCUAAUACCGCAUACGGUCACCUGGUGAAACGGGAGGACUAAAGCUUUAAGAAAUUAAGGCGCUUUUGGAGGAGCCUGCGGCUGAUUAGCUAGUUGGUGGGGUAAAGGCCUACCAAGGCGAUGAUCAGUAGCUGGUCUGAGAGGAUGGACAGCCACACUGGGACUGCGAUACGGCCAGACUCCUACGGGAGGCAGCAGCAAGGAAUUUUCGUCAA